rnacentral:rRNA from 1 species
AAUCAACGCUGGCGGCGUGCCUCAGACAUGCAAGUCGAACGAUUAAAGCUCUCUUCGGAGAGUGUAUAGAGUGGCGCACGGGUGAGUAACACGUAAGUAAUCUACCUUUGAGUGGGGAAUAACCCGGGGAAACCCGAGCUAAUACCGCAUAAUGCAGCGGCACCGCAAGGUGACAGUUGUUAAAGGAGCAAUCCGCUUAAAGAGGAGCUUGCGGCAGAUUAGCUAGUUGGUAAGGUAAUGGCUUACCAAGGCUACGAUCUGUAACCGGUCUAAGAGGACGGUCGGUCACACUGACACUGAAUAACGGGUCAGACUCCUACGGGAGGCAGCAGUCGGGAAUUUUGGGCAAUGGGCGAAAGCCUGACCCAGCAACGCCGCGUGAAGGAUGAAGUAUUUCGGUAUGUAAACUUCGAAAGAAUAGGAAGAAUAAAUGACGGUACUAUUUAUAAGGUCCGGCUAACUACGUGCCAGCAGCCGCCGCAGUAAC